CAGCCGUAAACUAUGCGCGUUAGGUGUAUCGGUGACCACGAGUUACCGAGGUGCCGAAGGGAAACCGUGAAACGUGCCGCCUGGGAAGUACGGUCGCAAGGCUGAAACUUAAAGGAAUUGGCGGGGGAGGCACCGCAACGGGAGGAGCGUGCGGUUUAAUUGGAUUCAACACCGUAAACUACACCAGGGAAGACUGUUACAUGAAAGCCGAGAUGAAGACUCUGCUAGAUUUUCAGAGAGGUGGUGCAUGGCGUCAGUGACU
rnacentral:rRNA from 1 species